rnacentral:piRNA from 1 species
UAAAGUGCUAUAAUUCAGAGCAUGGAGC